GACCCUAUCGUCUAGCGGUUAGGACACUGCCCUUUCACGGCAGCGGCACGGGUUCGAUUCCCGUUAGGGUCGCCA
rnacentral:tRNA from 1 species